rnacentral:rRNA from 1 species
UACGGAGGGGGCUAGCGUUGUUCGGAAUUAAUGGGCGUAAAGCGCGCGGAGGCGGAUCUGCAAGUCGGGGGGGAAAUCCCGAGGCUCAACCUCGGAACUGCCUUCGAUACUGCGGGUCUCGAGUCCGGGAGAGGUGAGUGGAAUUCCUAGUGUAGAGGUGAAAUUCGUAGAUAUUAGGAAGAACACCAGUGGCGAAGGCGGCUCACUGGCCCGGUACUGACGCUGAGGCGCGAAAGCGUGGGGAGCAAACAGG